UUUUCUCUCUCUACAACCCUCGUUCGUCACUCACUCACUCACUCACGUUCAUUUCUCUCUCCCCACCCAAAUUCAAACGCGAUUGUCUCUCUCCUCAACCGAUUUGCUUGGACUACUUCAAAAACCGCCAAUUAUAUCUUAAUUUCGCGAAGAUUACAAAGAUUUUGAGUUCUGCUUCUGUUAGACAUUUAUUUCUGUUGGAAUGGAAGCAUGUAAAUAGAACUAAGGACAUAGGGGGGAAACUGGGAGAUGAAUGCAACUGAAUAAUAAGUUUCCGAGAGCAAUUAUGCUGGGUUCUUCAACAAUGUUGGGCUUAAUUGAAGUCUAGGUCUCUAAUUUUCGCAAGUGGAUUUGCUGGAGGUGUCGCCAAGGCUGCUAGCACUCGUUAUUUUUUUGAGGUUUAUCUCGCCCCCGUUCUCAUAGACAAGGUCCAUUUCUAAAAGAAGUUAGAAUAAAGAUAUAAUAAAGAUAAGGAAAGAAGACCUUUGUUUGGGAUUAAAUAUGAAGCUCGAGGCCAAGCUCUGAAACAAUAUCAUAUAUGAAGAUAGAUGAUGGAAGAACAUCUCUAUUUUUCUGGAUUCGGACAAUAUAAAGAGUUAUGCAAAGGUAUCGUCGAUACACAUGAAUCCUCAUAUGCCUCAAGGUUUUUAUGGCACUCGUGAUCCUAUCAACGCCAACGACAUUGCUCCUAAGUGCAAUGUCUUAAAACAAUGCUUGAAGCGCAAGUUGUCUUGGAGGAGGACAUCGCAAAGAAAUGAGUACUUAGUUUCUUUCUCCUUUUUGUCAAUGCUUGAAGCGCAAGUGGUCUUGUGCUUAUUGUCAAGCUACAAGUGUAAAAUAAAUGUUAUGCAGUAAUUUGUAUGCCUUUUGCAAGGAAGCUUUAGUUAUAUAGGAGUAUAUUUCAUUCA